rnacentral:lncRNA from 1 species
GUGUCUCAUCGGGUCAUGGUGUUAAUUUGGUACACAGCUCAAGUAGCAUUUCUCCAAGUGAAGACACUGUCCAUAAAGAGCAAACACUGGACCUUAAAAGUUCUUUUGAGGAAAAAGUGGAUUCCUCCAAGACACUUUUUUCAACUUCAGCUUCUAACAAAGAGCAAACAUUAAUGGUUAAAGAUGUCCCAGCUCAUUGGACUGCAACUGAAACUAAGCCUGGUUCUGAUCAAUUAGAUGAUCUGGAUGAAGGAUGCUGCACUGAAUUACUCUUACAAAAGCUGGAGCAGCUCAAAGAACUGCAACACCACAAGAAGGAACUUCUGAGAAGGCAGCAAAUGGAGCAAAUUCAGAGAUUAAUGGAAGAGCAACAAAACUUACUUUCCCUGGUUGCUGAGCAGCAGGAACACACAGGCUCUCCUGCAACCAAAGAUGAUGGAACCCAGAACUAUGCUGGAUCGGUUUGUUUGUCUCCUGUCCCUUAUUUUCCACUAUGUCCCAGUAGAGGCAACACUGAUUGGGACAGUGCAUCUCGUGUUUCUUCUCCUGUGGACCAAAGAGAUUAUUUACAAAAUUUCAAUAAUAAUCAAAUAUUGAAGAAAAACCAUUCUGCAGACC